UACGAAGGGUGCAAGCGUUGCUCGGAAUUAUUGGGCGUAAAGGGUAGGUAGGUGGUUACGUAUGUCUGGGGUGAAAUCCCUGAGCUCAACUCAGGAAGUGCCUUGGAAACGGCGUAACUAGAGUAUUGGAGAGGUUCGUGGAAUUCCCAGUGUAGCGGUGAAAUGCGUAGAGAUUGGGAGGAACACCGACGGCGUAGGCAGCGCCCUGGCUGUGAAUAAAGCUGACACUGAGGCACGAAAGCUGGGGGAGCAAACAGG
rnacentral:rRNA from 1 species